GACGAACGCUGGCGGCGCGCUUAACACAUGCAAGUCGAGCGAAGCGGCGGACGGGUGAGUAACACGUGAGUAACCUGCCUUAGACAUUGGGAUAGCCUCGGGAAACCGGGAUUAAUACCAAAUGGUCUAAGAUGGACUCGCGUCCCAUUAGCUAGUUGGUGGGUAACGGCCCACCAAGGCGACGAUCCCUAGCUGGUCUGAGAGGAUGAUCAGCCACACUGGGACUGAGACACGGCCCAGACUCUACGGGAGGCAGCAGUGGGGAAUAUUGCACAAUGGGCGCAAGCCUGAUGCAGCCAUGCCGCGUGAACGAAGAAGGCUUUCGAGUCGUAAAGUUCUUUUAUAUGGGAAGCGGUACCAUAAGAAAAAGCCCCGGCUAACUACGUGCCAGCAGCCGCGGUAAUAC
rnacentral:rRNA from 1 species